UCACACUUUUUUGCCAUACUAAAUUGAACUUUAUCACCGGUGCAGAAAGGCGUUCUUGUCAGACUAGUAAAAGUUUUUGGCUUAACAACUCAAUCUAGCUUAAUAUAUAUAAAUCUAUGGCAUAGAACAACAUGUCGGGUCCCUAUAUAUAGGUCUAAGGUUUUAUUUGAAAAUUGAAAUGGUCAUACAAUGCCAAAAAUUCCAAAUCUGGUCUGCUUUGGCAAACAUUGCCAUCAUUGCGGUAAAUGGAUGGAGCGAAGAGCUUUGAGGAAAGAUUGUAAGUAUUCACUUCUGAUAAUUGUGUUAAAGGUUUUUUAUAUAUCUACUCACACCAGUAUUCCCAAAAGUUAUUGGCAAAUCACUAGAAAGAGUGCAGAGGAAGUUCUGUAGGCACAUUUACAAACGACUGUACGGAUAUUACCCAUAUAUGUAUCCAUCUCUAUUCGUAACAGGAAUGGUUGGUCUUCAAACUCUAGAA